rnacentral:rRNA from 1 species
UACGAAGGGGGCUAGCGUUGCUCGGAAUGACUGGGCGUAAAGGGCGCGUAGGCGGUUUGUACAGUCAGGUGUGAAAUUCCCGGGCUCAACCUGGGGGCUGCACUUGAUACGUAGGAACUGGAGUGGGAAGAGGGUCGUGGAAUUCCCAGUGUAGAGGUGAAAUUCGUAGAUAUUGGGAAGAACACCGAUGGCGAAGGCAAUCCUGGACCUGUACUGACGCUCAUGCACGAAAGCGUGGGAGCAAACAGGAUUAGAACCGACCGUGUCA